rnacentral:rRNA from 1 species
GAUGAACGCUGGCGGCGUGCCUAAUACAUGCAAGUCGAGCGAACAGACGAGGAGCUUGCUCCUCUGACGUUAGCGGCGGACGGGUGAGUAACACGUGGAUAACCUACCUAUCAGACUGGGAUAACUUCGGGAAACCGGAGCUAAUACCGGAUAAUAUAUUGAACCGCAUGGUUCAAUGGUGAAAUACGGUUUUGCUGGCAGUUAUAGAUGGUUCCGCGCCGCAUUAGAUAGUUGGUAAGUUAACGGCCUACCAAGGCAACGAUGCGUAGCCGACCGGAGAGACUGGUAGGCGACAUGGGAAGUUAGACAGGGUCCAGACGCCUGCGGGAGGCAGCAGUAGGGAAUGUUACGCAGUAGGCGAAAGCCUGACGGAGCAACGCCGCGUGAGUGAUGAAGGUGUUCGGAUCGUAAUACUCUGUUAUGAGGGAAGAACAGAUGUGGAAGUAAAUGUACACGGAUUGACGGUACCUAAUAAGAAAGCCACGGCUAACUACGUG